rnacentral:misc_RNA from 1 species
GAUGAAGAACGUAGCGAAAUGCGAUACGUAAUGUGAAUUGCAGAAUUCAGUGAAUCAUCGAAUCUUUGAACGCAUAUUGCGCUCUUUGGUAUUCCGAAGAGCAUGCUUGUUUGAGUAUCAGUAAACACCUCAAAGACUUCAAUUUGUUUUGAAUGGCUUUGGACUUGAGCAAUCCCAACACCAGUCUUUACGAUCGGUGGAGGGUUGCUUGAAAUGCAGGUGCAGCUGGACAUUCUCCUGAGCUAAAAGCAUAUUUAUUUAGGCCCGUCAAACGGAUUAUUACUUUUGCUGCAGCUAACAUAAAGGGAGUUUGACCGUAUUGGCUGACUGAUGCAGGAUUUCACAAGGGUCGGCAACGAUUCUUGUAAAACUCGAUCUCAAAUCAAGUAAGACUACCCGCUGAACUUAAGCAUAUCAAUAAGCGGAGGA